CCCUUAGAUGUUCUGGGCUGCACGCGCGCUACACUGAAGCGUUCAACGAGUAUUCACCUUGCCCGGGAGGGUUGGGUAAUCUUUUGAAAACGCUUCGUGAUGGGGAUAGAUUAUUGCAAUUAUUAAUCUUCAACGAGGAAUUCCUAGUAAGCGCGAGUCAUCAGCUCGUGCUGAUUACGUCCCUGCCCUUUGUACACACCGCCCGUCGCACCUACCGAUUGAAUGGUCCGGUGAAGCCUCCGGAUUGGCGCGCACCUCGGUGCCGCCGAGAAGUUGGCUAAACCUUACCAUUUAGAGGAAGGUGAAGUCGUAACA
rnacentral:rRNA from 1 species